rnacentral:rRNA from 1 species
CCUACGGGAGGCAGCAGUGGGGAAUAUUGGGCACUGGGCGCAAGCCUGACCCAGCAACGCCGCGUGAAGGAAGAAGGCUUUCGGGUUGUAAACUUCUUUUCUUAGGGACGCAGAAAGUGACGGUACCUAAGGAAUAAGCAACGGCUAACUACGUGCCAGCAGCAGCGGUAAUACGUAGGUGGCAAGCGUUAUCCGGAUUUAAUGGGUGUAAAGGGCGUGUGGGCGGGACUGCAAGUCAGAUGUGAAAACCAUGGGAUUAACCUGUGGCCUUCAUUUGAAACUGUAGUUCUUGAGUACUGGAGAGGCAUACGGAAUUCCUAGUGUAGCGGUGAAUUGCGUAGAUAUUAGGAGGAACACCAGUGGCGAAGGCGGUCUGCUGGACAGCAACUGACGCUGAGGCGCGAAAGCGUGGGGAGCAAACAGGAUUAGAUACCCCUGUAGUC